GUAAGGGAUAUUGGUCAAUGGGCGCAAGCCUGAACCAGCAACGCCGCGUGCAGGAUGACGGCCUUCGGGUUGUAAACUGCUUUUGUCGGGGACGAGCAAGGACGGUACCCGACGAACAAGUCACGGCUAACUACGUGCCAGCAGCCGCGGUAAAACGUAGGUGGCAAGCGUUAUCCGGAUUUACUGGGCGUAAAGCAUGUGCAGACGGGUUGGUAAGUGGUGUAUGAAAGCGUCCGGCUUAACCGGGCAAGCGUAUGCCAGACUGCCAGCCUCGAGAGUGGGAGAGGGACGUGGAAUUCCGGGUGUAGUGGUGAAAUGCGUAGAGAUCCGGAGGAACCCCAGAGGCGAAGGCGGCGUCCUGGCCCACAUCUGACGUUCAGACAUGACAGCAUGGGGAGCGAACGGGAUUAGAAACCCCUGUAGUCC
rnacentral:rRNA from 1 species